AAACAGAAAUGAAUCAAUAGCUCAAACAUGUCUGUAAAUUAAACAAAAUAAUAUACAUAUCUAGAACCUGUGUAAAAUGACCUCCGAGUCGUUUGUAGCGGGUUUCUGGAAGAAAGUCUUCGCUUAUCCUGUUAUUAACCAUAUAUCUGUCUGUAACGGAAUUCAUACAAAAUAUAAGAAUUGAAAGACUUGCUAAAGAUCAAAAAUGGAGUGGGAUGGAGUGUUGUUGGGGAUGAUUAUAUACAUACUCCUCGUGGGAAUAUUGGUCAUAAUAAACGAAGCAUUCUGCAAAUCUGUCUGUUUAAAUAACGCUCGACAAGCUUUAGAUUCACAAAAAGUUCCGGAUAUUGAAUUGAACGAGAGAUCACCAACAAAACGGAGCUUCACUUACAAGAAACAUGAAAACGCUUACAUUAUUUAAAUGUCCUACCAUAGCGUAACUUACGGUGAUAGAAACGAUGUUUUGUUUUGGGGAAAUUAAAAAA